rnacentral:lncRNA from 1 species
AGGGGAAGAACUAUUGCAGUCUCAACCUUAUCAGGUAUCUAGCACACAGUAGUAAGGACUAAGGUUUGAGUAAUUCUCCAACAAUACAUGAGUUAUCAUUUGGAUUAUUUCCCAUGUGUAGAUGAUAUAUAGCAUGAUCAAUUAGGGAUUAAGGUAUUGACACAAUUCAUUCUGCACUUAAUCGGAUAUCCAAGAUGUUGUAGUUCAGCACAAAUGCACUCCGAUGAUGAUUGAAAAUGCUUGGGGAAAUGUUGGUCAAGACUCAAGUAUGUUCUGCUAAUUUAUUGUUGCGAUUGGUUGGCAGUCAAGACCAGAAGAGCUAUCCAGGGAUGAUCUCGUUUGCAUAGUUUGAGUUUAAAUUAUAACAAUAUAGAUAGCAAGCCUUCUCUAGCACAUGAGCUGCAGGCUUGAAGCAUAUUUCACUCAAUCAUGAACACAACAAUAUAUACAACAAGUUGGAAAAUUUCCAAAUACUGUUCCUAGAAAUAGAAGAAAUCGUUCGCGAACUUGUUUCAAGCAGUUUAUUUGACUAAUAAUUAUGGUUUGCAAUGCAUAAUGUUGUAAUAUUAUGAAGUUGACAAAAAAUAUUAUCACUCUUGUCGACGUGUUUGUUACAAGACCCGCAAGAAGGUUGCCCCCAUUUAAAUUUUGUGCACAAAUAUGAACAAGAACAAUUUUCUCAUUCAACAUAUUACUACUAACAAUGUUUCUAUAAAUCGACGAAAAUCCAUAAUCAUCAAACCUACAAUGUCAUACAUUUCCAUUCCAUGACAUAAACAAAACCAUAAAUUAGAAAAAACAAUACAACAAAAAAACUCAUUGUAUUCAUGUCCUUGCGAAUUGUCGGAUUCAUCGCAUUCAUCGUAGUGCAAAAUGCAACAUAACUCUAUUUUUGCUCUGUUUCCACCCAACUCACCCAUGAAACUGGUACACAAGCUCCAAAAGCCCUCUCAUUUG